AAUCAACGCUGGCGGCGUGCCUCAGACAUGCAAGUCGAACGAUUAAAGCUCUCUUCGGAGAGUGUAUAGAGUGGCGCACGGGUGAGUAACACGUAAGUAAUCUACCUUUGAGUGGGGAAUAACAGUCGGAAACGACUGCUAAUACCGCAUAAUGCAGCGGCACCGCGAGGUGACAGUUGUUAAAGGAGCAAUUCGCUUAAAGAGGAGCUUGCGGCAGAUUAGCUUGUUGGUAAGGUAACGGCUUACCAAGGCUACGAUCUGUAUCCGGUCUUAGAGGACGGUCGGACACACUGACACUGAAUAACGGGUCAGACUCCUACGGGAGGCAGCAGUCGGGAA
rnacentral:rRNA from 1 species